AGUUCGGUCGAUAAUGUCGGUAAGGAGCCGAUUAGAGUCGAUGCAAAGGUCGCUUUAAAAAAAGGAAGGGCAUAAAAUUAACGUAGGAAUCAAUUAAGCGAAAUCGAAGCAUGAAUUUCGCUGAAGAUCAAAGUUCCCAGGGUGUUGAUCCACAAUUUCAAGAUUUCAUCGAGCAAGAGACUCAGAAGCAACUAUUUCAGGUUUUCGUUCACUUACUUGGUUAACCCGAGAACCUAAUGCAAAAUCAGUGGAUUUGUUGUUAAUGUUUUUGUGUCUUGAGACAACCUCGAAACUAAGUGGUUCGAUUGCUUUCGUUUUACUGCAAGACGUCGAUGCAGACUGACUCAAAUUUUUGGACUGGUCCACAAUUUGACGGACAUCUGUUGGGAAACCUGUAUCGACAAACCAACCUCUCGUUUUGAGUCUAAAAUUGAGAAUUGUUUGAAAAAUUGCGUAGAACGUUUUAUCGAUACAACUA